rnacentral:rRNA from 1 species
AUUGAACGCUGGCGGCAUGCCUUACACAUGCAAGUCGAACGGCAGCAUGGAGGAGCUUGCUCCUCUGAUGGCGAGUGGCGAACGGGUGAGUAAAGCAUCGGAACGUACCGUGUAGUGGGGGAUAACGUAGCGAAAGUUACGCUAAUACCGCAUACGCACUGAGGUGGAAAGCAGGGGAUCGCAAGACCUUGCGCUAUACGAGCGGCCGAUGUCAGAUUAGCUAGUUGGUAGGGUAAAGGCCUACCAAGGCGACGAUCUGUAGCGGGUCUGAGAGGAUGAUCCGCCACACUGGGACUGAGACACGGCCCAGACUCCUACGGGAGGCAGCAGUGGGGGAAUUUUGGACAAUGGGCGAAAGCCUGAUCCAGCCAUGCCGCGUGAGUGAAGAAGGCCUCGGUUGUAAAGCUCUUCGGCUGGGAAGAUAAUAGACGGUACCGAUCAGAAGAAGCCCGGC